UUGAACUUAAAAGAAGUUUAUAGGUUUCCUUUUUUUUUCAUAGAAGUUUUGUUACAAGUAUGAAAGACAAUGAAGACUAUGAGCUUUUGUUAGGUGAUAUUCCACCCAAAUAUGCAAGUGUUAAGGUUUUAGAUAAGCUAUUUUUAAGGCUUAGCCUUUCAGGAGAAUCUUUUAUUAAACCCUACAUUAGAAACUUAAACAAAAAAGGUUAUCGUGGGAACAUAAAGAAAUGUCAAGAUAAUUAUAUAGUGCAACAGAAGUCUUUUAAAGCAGGCUUUACUAGAGAAAAUUCCUGGUUUGGCUACGCAAUUCUUACUUUUGAAAGCCCACAGGAAGCAAAAAGGGCUCAAAUCUUUUUAAACGGCGUUGUUGUAGAUGAAACCUUCACUUUGAGGGUCGUUUCUGCUUCAAUGAAAUCAAUCUUUUUAGUUUCCGCCGGCUUUCUUUCGGAUGAUUCCGAUCCUCCGAUUUUGGCUCAACUUUAUCCUCUAAGUGAUUCGGAAAUUCAAGCUCGUCUAUUUUCACUCGGGGUGGGCCCUUUGCUGAGCGUACCUCCCCGGGAGCAGCUGGCUGAGUUCUAUGAAACUGUUCCCUCGUCGACUUGCUACUUUCCUUGUGAAGGGCUUCCUCUUCAUAGGAACAAUCCCUUAUUAAUUGAGUUACUGAAGGAGCUGAUUAUUUUUAAUUGGCCCUCAAAACUUUUAAGGAACAAAGUUUUUUAUACAAAAGCAUCGAUAUUAAUUACUUUUUCCCUUGUACAUCCUUUUUUAUUUUAAUUGGAUUAUUGCGGAUGGAUAUGUUGUGCUUAACGCUUAAUAAGUUAUAUGAAGAUGAUGCUUGGAGGAGAUUACAAAUUUUGGCGCAGGCAUUUAUAAAGGAAACUGUUCCGGCUAUCAAAUACAGCCACCUGGCCCUCACCAAAAACUUGUGGGCUCGCCCCACACGGAUGCGCAGGACGCCACUUUCCAGUACGCGUUUUCCUUAGGGGAUUAUCAAAAUGGUCUCCAGUCAGUUGUGCUUAGAAGAGCACACAACUUCGAUUGAAAGUCAGUUUCUUCCCGCUGGAUUUUGCUUCGGAUCCGUAAAAGAGCAAGCAAAUCUGGGCGAAAAUAAAAGAUACAUUUACAUAAUUGACACUCGCUUCAAACUAGUCUGCUUUGACGGCCGCUUCUGUCAUUGGGUUCGUCCUCACACCAGCGGCGAUCGUUACUCACUCGUCUACUUUUCCACUAACCCUGCACACUUCACUCCAAAAGGCCGUUGCUUGAACUUAUCUUUCAAGUAAAAGAAAAACCAUUUCUUAUAAAAAUUAUCAAAAUUCAGUUUCUUUCCAAAAUUUACUUGUAAUCUCAGUUACUCAUGUUUAUGGUUAGAUGUAAUGAUAAUCUUUGCAAACAAAAAU